rnacentral:rRNA from 1 species
GGGUCAGUAGGGUGGUCGUGCCACCGGUACGUACUGGUCUCACUGAUUCCUCCUUCCUGAAGAACCGUAAUGCCAUUAAUUUGGUGUUGCGGGGAAACAGGACUGUUACUUCGAAAAAAUUAGAGUGUUUAAAGCAAGCUAACGCUUGAAUACAUUAGCAUGGAAUAAUGAAAUAGGACGAUCGAUCCUAUUUUGUUGGUUUCUUGGAUUGACGUA